rnacentral:rRNA from 1 species
UACGAAUGCCCCAAGCGUUAUCCGGAAUCAUUGGGCGUAAAGGGCUCGUAGGCGGCCAACUAAGUCAGACGUGAAAUCCCUCGGCUUAACCGGGGAACUGCGUCUGAUACUGGAUGGCUUGAGAUUGGGAGAGGGAUGCGGAAUUCCCAGUGUAGAGGUGAAAUUCGUAGAUAUUGGGAAGAACACCGGUGGCGAAGGCGACUAUCUGGACCGACAUUGACGCUGAGGCGCGAAAGCGUGGGGAGCAAACAGG